rnacentral:antisense_RNA from 18 species
GUUUGGGUUCAAGAUUAGCCCCCGUGAUGUUGUCAGGUGAAUACCUACAACGUGCGUUGGUUUUCU